UGGAAGAUUGAGAGGGGUUGCUCCUAGUACGAGAGGACCGGAGUGAACGCACCACUGGUGUUCGGGUUGUCAUGCCAAUGGCAUUGCCCGGUAGCUAAGUGCGGAAAAGAUAAGCGCUGAAAGCAUCUAAGCGCGAAACUUGCCUCAAGAUGAGUCUUCCCUGGGCCUUUAAGGCCCCUGAAGGAACGUUUAAGACUAAGACGUUGAUAGGCUGGGUGUGUAAGUGCAGCGAUGCAUUGAGCUAACCAGUACUAAUGAUCCGUGAGGCUUAACCUUACAACACCGAAGGUGUUU
rnacentral:rRNA from 1 species